CCCUCGGUCACCGACAACAGUAGCUGGUAAAACCCAUCCCAAGCGGCAGAGCUAGCAAGCACCCAGCAAGUACAAGCUAGAUGUGAUCACAAAGUCCCUUGGAUUACACGAGACCAUAAAUCACGCUGGGAUUGAUUUAAACCAUAAAUAGUUGAAGUAUGACGUCAGCUAUGGAUAAAUGGCUUGAGCAACUCGAUUCCAGAGAGCGUGAUGAUGACGACCGGAUCACAUGGUUCCCAGGAAGCUUUAAAUUCAGAACCUGGAAGCAAGAAAGUACUGAAGACAAAAAGAACGGAGCCCCCCUUGGAGCUGGAGAGAUGAUGGUUCAAUGUCAGGAACACUGCCUGUUCUUCCAGAGGACCUGGGUUCGAUUCCUAGUACCCACAUGGUGGCUCAUAAGUGUUUAUAAUGUAACUUCCCCUUUCUGGCAAUUUCAGAAUCAGUCUUUACAGUAGUUGUGAAUGUGCCCCGACUUAAGGGAACUUCAGAAACAAAACAAUUAGCAAUUGGGCAUUUAGAUCAUGCAAACUUCCACGAAGGGCUCCUGUAGCAUGCCAAGCUCACAAAGACCUCAUAAACUCAGUUCCCAGGGACGGAUUUACAUACAACUUGGCAUCAGCAGAGUCUCCCAAACCUCUGCCUCCGCAGCUCUGGCCCAGCCCACCAUUCCUGGCUGCUGACAUGGGUCCUGGGAGAUUAAAGCCACAUCCUCAAGCUUUAUGCUGAGGCCAUGGUGACAUCACUAAUGAGCUGCAUAAGGAAAGCUGUUGUGGAAGAACAGGAGACUCUUCAGACACGGCAGUGAAAGUCCUUUUGACACCUGAGUUCUGGUAUCUGUGUUUCCAGCAGACCUGACUGCAUGGAGUCACCACCCAGCCAGCUCACGGUCACAUCGUCAAGGUACCAGGAUUACUGAAAACUCACCUCAGCUAAUCCGUCAUGAGUCCCCUCUGUAGGAAACAUUCCAUGCUCUUUUCUAAAGGUGGAACGCCUUGCCCAGUUCUUCAGGCAAAGAGGUCUCAGUUAACAGGACAGAAGUGCCAGCCUGAAAUCUACCUGGAGAAAGUGCUAAGAAAACAACAAAGGCUUCGUCUUCUGCUCUGGUGAACACUUCAGCUCUCCUUCGAUAGAAUGAACUCACACUCACAAUUCUCUCCAAGGAUGAGAAGGCCCCGUCUGCUGCACUCAGGCGGGUCCCCGACAGGCGCCAUCAUCCGGCUGAGGCAGGACCUGCUGCCAACUGGACGCAGAACUGGAGGGUCAGGAGCCAAGAGCCAGGCUCCGCAGGCCCCUGACGCAGUCUCCUGCAGAAAAUUUCAGAAGAACAAAGAUUUCAUAUUUCUGCACUGUCAGAAAUACACCACGGCUGAUGCGCCCAGUUUAAAAGGGUGCUAUGGUUUGCCCUGUGGGCUGCUGGGACAACCCUCCAGCCAGCCUGUCUCCGGCUGCAGAGUGGUACAAACCUCCUUGUGGGGAGUCGUGGCACCGAUCAUCCAUCAGUAACUGUCCCCAGAAGCAAAAUGACCUGUGUGGUCUGCUUUAGUGCAGAGAUUCCGGGAUGUACCUCAACUCCGCCCGAAGCCCUCCGACCCCAACCCCCAAGAAGGGAAGAAGCCUCAAUAACUACUUCUCGCAAGCCCCAGUUUUAGGAAAGUCUCCACAAGAGGGCACUGUCUCAGACUUAAACUGGAGCCGUUCUGCUCGCAUCAUCCCCACAGGGAAAAGCUGAGCGUCAACUUUUCUGAAAGACUUUCUUUAAAAAAUUGAAUGAAUUAACUUCCUUUAUAGGUAUGAGAGUUUUGUCUGCAUGCAUGCAGGUCUGUGAACAUGUGAGCCUAGUGCCAGUGGAAGCCAGAAGAGAGCAUUAAUGAUCUCCUGGACCUGGGGUUGCAGAUGAUUAUUAGCUAUCAUACGUGUGCUAAGAAUUGAACUCUGGUUCUCUGGUUCCAGACCCUUUUGAAAGGCUCUUAUCAGAGGCAAACACUUUAUUGAUGACUAGACAACUCUGUCAACAAGAGUAAUAGUUUGGAUCCUUCUCAGUUCAAUGCAGUUCUGUGUGCUUGAACCAAGCAGCAUUCAUGACUCCAGACAAUCAUUUGAAAGCUUUAUUCAGGGUCUGAGAGGGAGAAAGCUCAGUGUGGGUCUGUGCCAUUAGCCAGCACGCUUGGCCAGCAGGGCCACGUCAAGUGCUCAAGUCAAGCUCAGGACAGGCACGCACGUCCCCUAGUCUGGGUUAUCUUCCUUUUUGAACAUCAGUCUGUUCUUUUUUUCAUUUUUUAAAUUUUUCUUUUUAUAUCUAUGAGCACACUGUCAGACACACC